UGCCGCAUUGAAUUAGCAGUAGGAAAGUGAACGCUGCGGGCGCAUAAAUUUUUUAAUAUUUUUUACUGUUUUUUAUUUUUUCUGUUUUAAUAGUCAAAGGAAAG
rnacentral:ribozyme from 1 species